rnacentral:tRNA from 1 species
GGCUGUGGCUCGGUGGUAGCGUACUUGCCUGGCAUGUGUGAGGCACUGAGUUCGAUUCUCAGCACCG